UACGUAGGGUGCAAGCGUUGUCCGGAAUUAUUGGGCGUAAAGAGCUCGUAGGCGGUCUGUCGCGUCUGCUGUGAAAACUCGGGGCUUAACCCCGGGCCUGCAGUGGGUACGGGCAGACUAGAGUGCGGUAGGGGAGACUGGAAUUCCUGGUGUAGCGGUGAAAUGCGCAGAUAUCAGGAGAAACACCUGCGGCGAAGGCGGGUUGCUGGGCUGAUACUGACGCUGAGGCGCGAAAGCCAGGGGAGCGAACGGG
rnacentral:rRNA from 1 species